GAUGAACGCUGGCGGCGUGCCUAAUACAUGCAAGUCGAGCGAACGGACGAGAAGCUUGCUUCUCUGAUGUUAGCGGCGGACGGGUGAGUAACACGUGGAUAACCUACCUAUAAGACUGGGAUAAAUUCGGGAAACCGUAGCUAAUACCGGAUAAUAUUUUGAACCGCAUGGUUCAAAAGUGAAAGACGGUCUUGCUGUCACUUAUAGAUGGAUCCGCGCUGCAUUAGCUAGUUGGUAAGGUAACGGCUUACCAAGGCAACGAUGCAUAGCCGACCUGAGAGGGUGAUCGGCCACACUGGAACUGAGACACGGUCCAGACUCCUACGGGAGGCAGCAGUAGGGAAUCGUCCGCAAUGGGCGAAAGCCUGACGGAGCAACGCCACGUGAGUGAUGAAGGUCUUCGGAUCGUAAAACUCUGUUAUUAGGGAAGAACAUAUGUGUAAGUAACUGUGCACAUCUUGACGGUACCUAAUCAGAAAGCCACGGCUAACUACGUG
rnacentral:rRNA from 1 species